rnacentral:rRNA from 1 species
AUUGAACGCUGGCGGCAGGCCUAACACAUGCAAGUCGAACGAGUGGCGGACGGGUGAGUAAUGUCUGGGAAACUGCCCGAUGGAGGGGGAUAACUACUGGAAACGGUAGCUAAUACCGCAUACCAUCGGAUGUGCCCAGAGGGGAUUAGCUUGUAGGUGGGGUAACGGCUCACCUAGGCGACGAUCCCUAGCUGGUCUGAGAGGAUGACCAGCCACACUGGAUCUGUGACACGGUCCAGACUCCUACGGUAGGCAGCAGUGGGGAAUAUUGCACAUUGGGGGCAAGCCUGAUGCAGCCAUGCCGCGUGUAUGAAGAAGGUCUUCGGAUUGUAAAGCACUUUAAGUUGGGAGGCGUUACCAACAGAAUACGCACCGGCUAACUUCGUGCCAGCCGCCGCGGUAAUAC